AGUCACCUUCAUGCACUUUAGCUCCAUGUACUGAAUCUGAUGCAAUAUUAGGAAUAUGAUGAAGUUGCUUUCUAAAAAUAUUGUAGAAUUUAGCUGCAGGUGCUUCAAUUUCUACUUCACCCUCCACUUUCCCACUUAAUGUCAUGUCUCUAAUGUUUCUACUAAUGUAGAGAUAUUGAAUAAUGUUAUAUAUUAUUUACUCAUAAUUAGAUGCAAUGUAUUCCCUUAAAUAGAAGAUUUUUGUGAGUAUUGUUUGACGCGUAUUUAUUAAUUAAAUGAAAUUAUUUAAAAAACUUAUCCAUUAACCGGACAUCACAAAACAGCUGUAUAUAUUGGUUGACAUAUAUUUUCAGAUUGUAUUUUUAUUUAUUUUUUAAAAAAACUGAUUAUUUUUUUUGUUUGUCUAGAAAGCUUGUAAUAUUUUAAUCGUGAUAAUUUGUUGAAUACAUGUAGAGAUAUAAAUGAAAAUAUAGAAAUUAAUUAAAGAUGUGGCUAAUUUUUAUAAAUAAUUUUUUCAUUUGUUUGUCAAUAAUGGUAAUAGAAUAUGAAAAUGAUGAGUGCAAAUAAAAAUAAUAUGAAAAUGAAAAUGAUGCUGGACCAAAUAUUUGUUUACGUAAUAUUGAUCGGAUAAUGUUCGUCGUGGUUCACGAGAUGGAGACUUGCUAUUAAUUAAUAAAGAGAAAAAUAUCAAGUGUGAUUUCAAUUUUGCAAAAUGUAUCACGAGAUGGAGACUUGUAUAAAUAUAAUAUCUCUUAAAAUUAAUUAAUAAUUUCUUCUCGUUAAUAAAAAAUAUUUUUUAUUCCAAAUAAUUUUAUAAGUCCAUAUCAUGUUGCAUCUCUUAAAACAGAUUUUUUAUUUAUGAUUUCUUAUUUUGUAGUCAUGUAUUUCACAUCUUUUAUUUAUUUUCUUCUUUAAAAAUAUGAUAAAUAUCUUUAUAAAUAAUUCACAUAAUUAUGAGUUUUUAAAUUUGAAUUUAACACAAGAUAUUCAACCUAAUAAUAUCAACACUAACUACACAACUUUCAUUUUUAAUCAUUAAUACUUAACUUUUUUGUUUGCAUGAAAUUUUGUGAAUACAAUUAAUUGGUUUGACUUACAAAGUAAUUUGUUUUUAAUGUUAUCGUAAAAAUACAUGUUUAAGAUAGUUGUUUGAAUUUCAUUUGUUUAUGAAAACUUCUAAAAACUAUUGAGUAUACUAAAUUUGAUGUUAAAAUAAAGUUUAUUAACUAAAAUUGAUAUGUCUUGAUACACAAUAUCAAAGAGGGAUGUGUAUUUUGAGUGUUUUGAGUUCAAUGUAUGUUUUGGACAAUAGAAGUCCUCAUGAUAAGUUGAUUUUACAAAAGAGGUUGAAACAAGGAGAUCUCCUAAAGCAGUUUCUAUUUCUUAUUGAUGUUGAAGGUUUUGCUGGUUUGGAUUAGAAUGUCAUCGAGGAUGGUCUAUUUCAGGAGUAUUAGCUUAACCACUCAAUUUCUUUUCCUCUUUUUCAAUCCAUUAUGUCGUAUGAAGGUAGUUGGGGUAAUCUAUGAACUACAAAAGCUAUUUUGAGAGGAUUUAAGAUUGUGUCUGAAUUAAAAGUGAAUUUUGCAACAACAAAAAUCAAUAUCAAUGAGGUUAAUCUUCAAGACUAUUUUGUAAGAGUAGCGUCAAACUUUCUAUUUUGUUCUAUUACUACAAUUCCCUUUAAAUUUUUGGAAAUUUAGUUGGUGCAAAUAUCAGAAAAUAUAACAAUAGAAGUUAAUUUUCAGAGCGGGCACAGACCAUUACAUCUCUUAUAUUUUUAAAUUUCUUUAUAAAUAAUAAUUAUAUAUUAUUAAAAUAUCAUCCGAACUAUAUUGGUUCGAGGAACGCACGUCUUUUUUAUUUAAUUUUUUCUUCUAUUUAAAUAAUUUUCUUUAUAAAUACAAUAACAAAAAAUAAAUGUCAAUGGUUUGUCGGUAGUCAUCUUAUUUUUACAUCAAUGUAAGGAGAUUAUUCAAUUGUUCUUAAAUCACAAUUUAAAUCACUAAUCAUAUUAAAAAUUAUGUAAUUGAAGAGAUAAAAAAAAUAAGGUAGACAUUUAUUAGAAUUUAUAAUGAUAAAAUAUAAUAAAAUUAAUAUAAUAAGCUCUAUAUAUAAAUAAAUCAUUUAAUAUCGAAUGAUAAACUAACUAAUAUCGAAGAGACAAACUCUAACACCCUAGUUAGCAACUCAACUACUACCUAUUAACAAACUUUUACAUUUUAACAAUUGAUAUAUAUGAUAUAGUGUGACACUAUUUGUUAAUUAUGAAUUGUAUUAAUUAAUUUGUGUAUUUUUUUAGGAGUGGCACAAUGUUUAAACAUAAGAAAAUUGAUGCAUUUGUCAUGAAGAAAGUUUUCGACAAAGAUAAAAAUUGUAAAGUAGAUAUAUUUUAUUUGAUUGAACUUGUGAAAAAUUGUGACUUAUGAAAAUUAUAAAACUUGUAAUAAUUGAAAUUUUAACUUUUUCAACUUGUUAACUAUCUAUGAAUUAUAUAAAAUUUUAAAAAAAACUAUAUAACUUUUAUGAAUUUUAAUUAUAAUAUUUUAAAAAAACUAUAUAACUCCUUCUCAAUCUUUUGUAUAAGAUACGCCACAGCAUGGGGGUUGACCCAGCAAUAUGGUAAUUUAAGUAACAUAUUUUUGUCUUAAAUGCAACAUCUAUGAUGAAGAUGGACGUAGAUAUUGAUGAGUCUAUGAUGCGAACGUUGAAUUUAAGGACAAAUGCAAGGAUUUAGUGGCCUUAGGGUCCGCGUCAAUCAUCUCCAAUCCUCCCCGAUAACAAAAUUCUAAAAAGAUCCUUUGAGUAGUAUGAUUUAAUUAAAUUAGACUAAAGAAAAUUAAAUAGAUAAGAUUUAAUUGAUUAAGAUGAUGUAAUUGGGUUGACUCUAAUAAGAAAUCGAAACCCUUAAUUACAAGCAUUAAAGUAAACAAGCAUGUAUGAUCGAAAAAUAUGGGGGCUUAUCGAAGAGUUUGAAAGAAACAAGCAUGUAUGAUCGAAAAAUCCUAAAAAGUAAACUUCUAUUUAUCUCCGAUUACCACAUUAUAUUUUCAAAUUUAGUAUCCUUAUAUUAAAAUAACCAAAAUAUAUAAAUUUUCUAUCAACCAAUAUUUUGUCGGUCAUAUACUAUAUAAGAUUAACCUGAAAUAUGACCAGCAAAAACAUAGAUAAAAAACUUUUAUUUGUAUUUUUGUCUUGGAAGUCAUUUGUCUGUGGAGUUAAAAUUUAAUUACAAAGCCCUUAUCUUUAUUAAUGUUUAUUCUUAACGAAUAAGGGAACUGAAAUGAAAUAUUUUGUCUACCCGACAAAAAUUGAAGUUUACUUGCACUAUAUUUAUCACAUCUAUCACAACAAAUUUUACUAUAUAUGGUGCUUUUGAUUAAUAAUAACAAGCCAAACACACUUAAAAAAAUGAAGAAGGGUAAAUUAUUUAUUAUUUGCAAUAACGAUGACAUUACUAACUAUUUUAUUAUGUCAAACUUUUACUCUUAAGCUGAAAAUUUGUAGACAAGACAAACACACACUUCAUCUUCAUCUUUUUAAAUCUUGUUGCUAUUCCUUAACAAGAUGAGCAUCAAUAUCUUUAGUGAUCUUCACAGCAAAUUCCAAGUAUGAUUCAGGAGGUGCACCUGUAAUAUCUUCCUUUAGCUUCUCAUAUUCGUAGGUCCAUUUCACAAGCCCACCAUGUUCCUUACCAAUUACUUGUAAUGUUAUCUUUAAACUCUUAUAACUCUCACUCAUUUCCCCAUCAAAUAUACUAUAUGUUAGGACCAUAUUAUCAUCAUCUAUAGUCUCAAUUUUUGUUUUAGCACUUUGUUUUAUUCCACCUACAGGAUUUCACAAAAAUUUAAAAUCAGAGUUGAAUGAUCACAAAGAUAAAUAAUUAACAAAAUUAGAGACAAACAAAACAAAAUCAUAUUUAAUACUCGCUCCAUCUCUUUUUAUAAAAAAAAACAAUUGAUUUAUAAUUUUAUCAAUAAUUUUUUGUAUUUAAAUAUAUUAAUUUUUUGUUAAUUAAAUUAUAAUAUUAUUGUUUUUUAUAAAAAAGGGACGGGGAGUCAUCUAAGUGUUUGAAACACCAAAAAUAAUUCAGGAUUAAUUUAAUUUGAUAUGGUAAAUUAUUUAUUUUUAUAGUAUAUAUAUAUAUUUUUUUUAAAGAAAUAGAGAAAAAUAAAUUAUUAUUAAUAAUUGUGAUACUGAUAACAUUUUACAUAAAUUCUUGAUAGGAGUUGAACUCAGCUUUUCAAAGUUACAAAAUCAAGCUUUUUAACACUAAGAUUUGAUUUUUAAAAAACUCAAAUGUGGUAGCCUUUUUCUAAAUAGAGAAGAUGAAAUUAUUAUUAAUUAAAGUCACAAGAAUAACAAUUUUACAACUCGAAUUGAACUCUCUCAUUCCAAAUUAUAAAAUCAAAUUUGUAUCACUCAACUACCAUCUCAUGAACAAACGUGAUAGUCUUUAUAUUUAAUGAUAAUAUUCUUGAAAUAUUAAUUUGUGUAAUUAUGUUAUAUAUUGAUGUGAAGUAUCCACUAACUUUGCAAUAACUAAUUUUCUUCACGGAAACAAAUUGGCCACCUUUAUGGAUCUCUUCUCCUAAUUACAUUUUUUUCAUCCAUAAAAUCCGAAUUUAAAAUCUAAUUAUUAAUAUAAAUUUUUAUCCUAAUAACCAUUUUAACGUCUUAUUGAGUGAGUGGUUAUAAAGGAUAAUUAAUUUAGAUAAUACAAUAACCUGUUUGAUUAUAUCUAGAAAAUUAAUUUUAUUUAGCCUAAAAAUUUAUUAGCAUAAGUAUAUAUAUUUUACUAAUAAUCAAAAUUGGAUGGAGUAUAUUAAUUACAAGCAAUGACAUCAACAAAAGAGUGUUGGGUGCGUUCAUUAUAUUUUUAUUUAUUUUAGUUUAUUCAUAUUUUUUAACAAAAAAAUUAUGAAAUAUUGCAAAGCUUAUAUAUACCUAUUGUAUAGUUCCAUUGUUUGAUAGAACCAACGUUUUCCCAGUCUCCUUCAUGCAAUUCAGCUCCAUGAACCACAUCUGUGGCGAUAUUAGGAAUAUGAUGAAGUUGCUUUCUAAAAAUAUUGUAGAAUUUAGCAGCAGGUGCUUCAAUUUCUACUUCACCCUCCACUUUUCCACUUAAUGUCAUGUCUAUGCUUUAUAAUGUUUCUAGCAAUGUUUAGAGAUACGAAAUAAUGUAAAU
rnacentral:lncRNA from 1 species